GGAUGUAGCUCAGUGGUAGAGCGCUUGCUUAACAUGCAUGAGGCCCUGGGCUCAAUCCCUAGUACUGCCC
rnacentral:tRNA from 1 species